rnacentral:rRNA from 1 species
AUUGAACGCUGGCGGCAUGCCUUACACAUGCAAGUCGAACGGCAGCACGGGAGCAAUCCUGGUGGCGAGUGGCGAACGGGUGAGUAAAGUAUCGGAACGUGCCCAGUCGGGGGGGAUAACGUAGCGAAAGUUACGCUAAUACCGGAUACGAUCUAUGGAUGAAAGCGGGGGAUCGCAAGACCUCGCGCGAUUGGAGCGGCCGAUAGCAGAUUAGGUAGUUGGUGGGGUAAAGGCUCACCAAGCCGACGAUCUGUAGCUGGUCUGAGAGGACGACCAGCCACACUGGGACUGAGACACGGCCCAGACUCCUACGGGAGGCAGCAGUGGGGAAUUUUGGACAAUGGGCGAAAGCCUGAUCCAGCCAUGCCGCGUGCAGGAUGAAGGCCUUCGGGUUGUAAACUGCUUUUGUACGGAACGAAAAGGUUUGGGCUAAUAAGCUGAGCUCAUGACGGUACCGUAAGAAUAAGCACCGGCUAACUACGUGCCAGCCGCCGCAGUAA